rnacentral:rRNA from 1 species
UAGGGAAUCUUCGGCAAUGGACGAAAGUCUGACCGAGCAACGCCGCGUGAGUGAAGAAGGUUUUCGGAUCGUAAAACUCUGUUGUUAGAGAAGAACAAGGACGUUAGUAACUGAACGUCCCCUGACGGUAUCUAACCAGAAAGCCACGGCUAACUACGUGCCAGCAGCCGCGGUAAUACGUAGGUGGCAAGCGUUGUCCGGAUUUAUUGGGCGUAAAGCGAGCGCAGGCGGUUUCUUAAGUCUGAUGUGAAAGCCCCCGGCUCAACCGGGGAGGGUGAUUGGAAACGGGGAGACUUGAGAGCAGAAGAGGAGAGAGGAAUUCCAUGUGUAGCGGUGAAAUGCGUAGAUAUAUGGAGGAACACCAGUGGCGAAGGCGGCACUCUGGUCUGUAACUGACGCUGAGGCUCGAAAGCGUGGGGAGCAAACAGA